rnacentral:rRNA from 1 species
GAUGAACGCUGGCGGCGUGCCUAACACAUGCAAGUCGAACGAAGACCCCGAAGCGGAGAUUUCGGUUGAAGCUAAGGGAGGACUGAGUGGCGGACGGGUGAGUAACGCGUGGAUAACCUGCCCCAUACAGGGGGAUAGCAGUUGGAAACGACUGAUAAUACCGCAUAAGCGCACGGGGAGACAUCUUCUUUGUGUGAAAAGAAAUAUCGGUAUGGGAUGGGUCCGCGUCCGAUUAGCAAGAUGGCGGGGUAAAGGCCCACCAAAGCGACGAUCGGUAGCCGGCCUGAGAGGGCGGACGGCCACAUUGGGACUGAGACACGGCCCAGACUCC